UUAAGUUCAGCGGGUAUUCCUACCUGAUCCGAGGUCAACCUUUAAAGAUUUGGGGGUUUUACGGCGAGAGACCGGCCUCACUGACAGACGAGAUAAGAUUUACUACGUCUAGAGUGGAAACCGACUCCGCCACUAACUUUGGGGAGCUACAGCGAGGCUGUAGGCUCCCAACGCUAAGCAACAGGGGCUUAAGGGUUGAA
rnacentral:misc_RNA from 1 species